GGUGACCAAAAAAAAAAAUCUUCAUAUUUUUUUGUAAAGAUAUAUUGAUGGCCUAAAAAACCUUUCAAAGCUUUUGCUCAUGGGAUGUGACCUAGAGAUUCUAAACUAUGUCAUUUUGUUGACCAAUGUUCUGAACCGCCUGAGUUUGGAGCCUGGUGCCACAGUAGAGCUGCAGACACGAACAAGGAGUGCCUUAAUCGCUUCAGUGUGUGGACUCCACCUCACUCACCAGGGAGCACUGAUUGAUAAGCUGUAUAUGCUUAAUGAUUUAAUAGAGGUUAAAUAGCAGAUAACCUUCAACAGUGCAAAGCUGGUCGGUCAUGUCAAUGAUCUGUCACAGCACUUCCAGGAGCCUUUUACCCCAGGUAGCUAUUAUUUUUGGAUGAAUGGACAAUAAGGAUCCUGGUGAGUCUGCUGUCGAAUGCCAUUGAAGUCCGUGACAACACCACUGAAGAGGCAUCGAGUUCAUCGCUGAUGGGACAAGGAGGACUAGAGAGCUGCUGCUGGUGAGUCCCUUUACUAGAACUUCACAGAUACCCUCCCAGAUGACAAACAAUGGUGAUGUCAGCGGUGAAAAAAAUAAUCCAUUGUCACGCUGUAAGCCUAUGGAUUAUUCAUUACUCUUAGUUGUAAAAAAUAAAAACUAAAGUACAACCCUCUUCCAAUAAUACUCUAAAAAUGCAAGUUUGGUCUUUCUUUUUUUAAAGAUCUGCAUUUUAUUCCCCAAUAUCUGAUGUGGAUCAAAUUUCAACAGUUUAUCAUGUGUACUGGUAAUGUGCAUGUUAUUUGAAAAAUUGUUUAUUGAAAAAAUACUUUUAACUCUAAGUGCUUUUAAAAACAUUUCAGAAAUAUGUGAUUUUUAUAAACAACACUUAGUUUAAUGGAACCACCAGUCAGAUGGAGCUCCAGACUACUCAACACUGCAGCUUUCAGAAUGCAGUGGAGGGAACUGGCUCCACAAAAUUUUACUUUCCUGACAUUUUAAACAAGCACAUAACUGCACAGACUGGCAGGAACAGCACGUGCUAUAACAGUCAGCUUCUGUCCUUCAAGCAAAAUCUUACUUCUGGGGAACAGCACCUGUUAAGGUAAGAGUUAUUUAAAAAAAAAAAAAAAAAAGUACAAAGUACUAAAAAGAAACAUUUUAA